GCGUGGGCAAGACAAGUUAGGGAGAAAGAAAGGUGCUGACUUGAAACGGGAAGGGGGAUGGCAUGAUCUGGGAAGUGCUAAGCCAGUUGGAGAAGACCCCGAGCCUGUGCUUGCUGAAGGUCCCGAGGUCAUCACCGUGGACGACCCUGCGGAUGUUGCUGCCGCCGCUUGAGACUUGGCGUAUUUUUUCUUUUUCAUUGUAUCCG
rnacentral:lncRNA from 1 species